rnacentral:rRNA from 1 species
AAAGGAAUUGACGGGGACCCGCACAAGCGGUGGAUGAUGUGGAUUAAUUCGAUGCAACGCGAAAAACCUUACCUACCCUUGACAUGUCCAGAAGCUCUUAGAGAUUUGAGUGUGCCCGAAAGGGAGCUGGAACACAGGUGCUGCAUGGCUGUCGUCAGCUCGUGUCGUGAGAUGUUGGGUUAAGUCCCGCAACGAGCGCAACCCUUGUCGUUAAUUGCCAUCAUUUAGUUGGGCACUUUAACGAGACUGCCGGUGACAAACCGGAGGAAGGUGGGGAUGACGUCAAGUCCUCAUGGCCCUUAUGGGUAGGGCUUCACACGUCAUACAAUGGUCGGUACAGAGGGUUGCCAAGCCGCGAGGUGGAGCCAAUCCCAGAAAGCCGAUCGUAGUCCGGAUUGCAGGCUGCAACUCGCCUGCAUGAAGUCGGAAUCGCUAGUAAUCGCGGAUCAGCAUGUCGCGGUGAAUACGUUCCCGGGUCUUGCACACACCGCCCGU